UCUCCCUCAUCUUUCGCGCCAAAGAGAGAAGCAUGAGAGAGAGAGAGAGGAUCUCUGCUAGGGUUUCGAUCCUUCUUCUUCUUCCUGUUGCAGAACUACUUCUCGCUUCUUCACCAGCCAGAAGAUCACAAAGAAGAUGCAGCCGUUGAGGUCUCAUCACCAGAAUGAUGCAAUUCCAGCUCUCCCUCUAUACCGCUCUGCUCCACCCCUCGAAGUCAGGCUCGAAGAUUUCGAGCUCUACGCCAUUGACCGCCUCCGAGUGCUUAAGGCGAUGUCGGAUGGAUUAUCCCGGGGAAAAAAUCCUGAGGAAAUGGAAAAAUUGGUAAAAGGUCUCUUGAGGGCAAAUAUGAGGCAUCCCCAGGCUUCGGAGGACGUAAACAAGGACAUCAUCUCCCAUUUUGUCCUGCGUCUUGUGUACUGUAGAACGGAGGAUCUGAGGAAAUGGUUUCUGUCAAUGGAGACGGCUCUAUUCCGUUACCGGUUCUUGCUCUUAACUUCCAAUGAUCAUCGGAGAGCGGUUAUGGCCGAAUUCAACCUUCCUUACAAAGCAGUCAGCAAUGCAGAAUAUGAGGGUGUGAAGGACAAACUGGGCCAAGUCGCACGUUCCAUUGGCCAGCCACCCCCAACUGCCAAUGACAUAUUUUACAAGGUACCUUUUGAAGAAGUACCUGAACUUGUAGCCAACAGAAAAGUGUAUAUUCACAAAGGAUAUGCAUAUGUAGCAAUGAAUCAGGUAGUUUCCCUGGUUGUCACCCAGUUUCGCAGUCAUCUCUCAAAAGCACUCAUUUUGACUAACAGAAAAUGGACCUCUACCAUCAGAGAGCAGGAGAAGGAUCGGUUGACCCCUAUUGUAGAAGCCUUAUCUACAAGUUACUUGGGUCCUGAUUACUCUCAGCCAAGAGAAUCAGCAGAAAUAUCAAUAAAAGAUCUCGAUCAGAUUGCCAAGAGUUCCUUUCCCCUUUGUAUGCGCCACUUAUUUGAAAAGUUGAGAGAAGAUCACCAUUUGAAGCAUGGAGGCAGAAUGCAAUUGGGGCUCUUCCUUAAGGGUGUUGGGUUGAAGCUUGACGAUGCCCUUGCGUUUUGGAGGGCUGAGUUUUCACAGAAGGUUGGUGCUGAAAGGUUUGAGAAAGAAUAUGCUUACGGCAUCCGACAUAAUUAUGGGAAAGAAGGCAAAAGAACCCUUUGCAGGACUACACGCCCUUUUCUUGUCAAAAGAUCAUCUCAUCAACUCCUGGCGUCGGGGAUAAUCAUGGUUGCCCUUUCCGACACUUCAGCGAAGAGAAUCUCAGAGCUGCUCUCAGUAGAAUGGGAGUUGGAACUCGAGCAAUGGAAGAUGUGAUGGACAAAGUCAGAAACCGACAUUAUCAGAUAGCUUGCACGUUAACAUUUGAAGCUGUUCAUUCCUCAACAUGUGAUGCUGGGAUUAACCAUCCAAAUCAGUACUUUAUUGACAGCCAAAAGAUUCUGCAGUCAAAGAACCAAUCUCCUGGGGGAAGUUGAUGCAUUUUACACUGUUAUCAGAAAGUUGCGAUGCCUCAUCAGCGCAGGAAAUAUAUUUUUGAGUGUGAGAACAUUGGCUUGUUCCAGAGGAACUCAAGUUAUAGCAUAUCUAUUGAGUCUCAUGCACAUUCGGUGCCUGGUGAUCCAUCAGUUGGAGAUUGCAACCCUCCUCGUCCGUAGGAUUGUUGGUCAGUAUGGUGUAAGUUCCACAUGGAUUAUUCAUAGCCCAGAGGUUACCUAUGCUUGUAUGUAGUAAGAACAUUACCCUCGAUACCAACUUUAUGAAGCCAAGAUUCUUUCAUAUAAACAGCGAUCGGCUUUUUUCUUCCAGCUAAGAAACUCGGCAUUAUGUUGAUGGCAAGUAUGCAAAAUCAAGUUUUCUCUAAUCGGAUGCCAAUGGGCAGUCCGACUAGGCCCAUGUUGAUGUCACUGGAAUCAAUCUGAUCCUACAGGGCCUCAGGAGCCUCAUGUGAAGGUUCACACGGCAGAGACACGAGGCUGCAACAUUUGGCACGCACAAUGCAUCGUGCAAAGGUAUGGUCUGCAGUAGCUCUCAGUGCCAUCAGUGGCGUUCUGAUUGAAGCAUUUUUACUUAAAAAAAUCUCCUGCAGUAUGGGGAUCGAACAAGCAGCAGAUGUCUGAAUGCGACGUUGGUGGUAGAGGGAAGACCGGAUCCCUAAUGAUGCAUGUGGGUAACAUGUGAUUCGCUCUUGAGGCGUAGCAUCUCCCUUUAAUUUUGGCAUGUUUGUUGACACUUUACGGUAUUCUUUGUGGACACUUUAGGCACAUAUUCAAUGAGUGGUCCUCUCUAGGUGGUGGGAUGGGAUUGGAAUAUAAAGGAAGUGCACAUCCAUUGAAAAUCUCCCACCACCACCAUCGUUUCCCAUCCCAUUACCAGGAAUAAGCAUAACUCUCUUACCCUGAAAAGGACACUGGGACUACGACCCCACGCCAGGGACGGACUUGGUACGACGAGGCCAAAAUCGUGAGGUCAAGUGGGGUGUUUGGGGUGUUUAAAUCUCCCUAAGCACCCGAUCAAUUCUCGUCAAAUGUGAAGACUUUUCCGUAUCUCGUACAAGAUCAGAGCCGGAGAUGUUUAUAUUAUGAGAUUUGGUGA